UGGGCACUCCCAGAGGUGGGAGGAGGAGAUGGUUGUGCUGGUCACCCCAGCCCUCUGAGUGGGGUCCGUCAGCAGUGGAGAGUCUGUCCUGUGUGUUUCUGUUUAGUGUCCUUGGUCUCUGUCCACAGUGGAGCCCAGGUCCUCUCCAGUGGCUGGGGGGACACAGCUCUCACACCAUGUACCGGAACUGUGUCCAGAGCCACUGUGGAGUGGCCCUAACGGUGUGAUGGAGAAAGGGCCAAGGUUCUACCUGCAGGUGCAGCUGGGCCCAGGAGGGGUGCAGGAAACACUGCCCCUCUCAUUUUCAGCUGCCAGUUCAAUCUCUGACCCAGCCUCUCCUGUCCUCCCAGUGGCCUAGGCUGUCCAGAUGACAGUUUCAGGGUAUGGGGCAAGGCCGAGGUCACCAGAAGGCCUCCCUGAUCUGGCUGGUUUGGGUCUGUGGGACCGGGAAGGCAGGAGGCAUGCAGCUGUGUUGCCCCGCCCUCUCCUCCAGGGACGCAGGGCAGAGCCCUGGCCAGCGCCUGAGGGCAGCUGUGGGAGGAGGGAAGCCAGUUGCAGUUUUCUGAGGCUGCCCAGCCAGGCUGGUCUUGGCGCUACCAGCAGGCUGCAUGUGGUGGGCGUGGACAGGUGGCGGUUGGUCUCCAGGCCCAGGAUCAGACUCAAGGCCUUCCUGUCCCAUGCCUCUCCCGUCCCGUGCCCCUCCUGUCCAGAUCCCCUCCCGUCCCGUGCCCUCCUGUCCUGUGCCUUUCCUGGGCUACCUCAUGGCAGGCCCAGAGCAAGCCCCUGCCCCCCAUGGACCGAGAUCUUCCAAAUGGAGACCUCCUCCUCUGAAGUGUCUUGUCAGGGUUCUGAUCACAGAGACAGACAGCGGCCAGCACAGAGGGCCUUGACCAUGCCCUGUGUGCACCUUUUCUGCAGCUGUAGUCAUUUUAGAAAGUGCUCAGCUGCCCCUGCUCAGCGGUCAGCUCUGCAGUGCCUGAGGAGUCCACCACCCGUCCUCUUGCUGAUGUGGUGCUGUGCAUCAGGGGGCCUCUGGGCAUCCUGCAGCGGGGGUGUCUUCUGCUUGCUGAGCCCUGGGGUGACUUUCCCUCCUCCUCACCUUGGACUGUCCUAGGGAGGCUGUAGUCCACACGGUAGCUCCAGCCUGCCAUGCCCCUGUUGGGCUGGAGCUUGCUUGAAGGAUUUUAAGAGGGAUUUAUUGACAGUUUCUUUGAUCUUGGAGCUGCAUGGAGGGGCAUCUGCAUGACCAUUUCUAUUUUACUUAACACCCAGUGUGCUGAUCUUAUUCGUGAAAUCCACCUUUUAAGCCUUAAAAGGCAACACUGCUAACCUUAACUUUGCCCAUCAGGAGGUCAACCCAUAAAUUAAAACUUAUCUAACUCAGUGAA